UUUUUCUAUUGCCGUUAUUGCUCUUCUUUUU
rnacentral:sRNA from 1 species